GACGAACGCUGGCGGCGUGCCUAACACAUGCAAGUCGAGCGAAGUUAUGGAGUAGCUUGCUACGAAGUAAUUUAGCGGCGGACGGGUGAGUAACGCGUGAGCAAUCUGCCUCGUACAGGGGGAUAACAGGUGGAAACAUCUGCUAAUACCGCAUAAGACCACAGUAUCGCAUGAUACAGAGGUCAAAGGAGAAAUCCAGUAUGAGAUGAGCUCGCGUCCCAUUAGCUAGUUGGUGAGAUAGAAGCCCACCAAGGCGACGAUGGGUAGCCGACCUGAGAGGGUGAUCGGCCACACUGGGACUGAGACACGGCCCAGACUCCUACGGGAGGCAG
rnacentral:rRNA from 1 species